rnacentral:rRNA from 1 species
AACGAACGCUGGCGGCAUGCCUAACACAUGCAAGUCGAACGAGACCUUCGGGUCUAGUGGCGCACGGGUGCGUCACGCGUGGGAACCUGCCCUUAGGCUCGGAAUAACUCCCCGAAAGGGGUGCUAAUACCGGAUAAUGUCUUCGGACCAAAGAUUGAUCGCCCUUGGAUGGGCCCGCGUUGGAUUAGCUAGUUGGUAGGGUAAAAGCCUACCAAGGCUACGAUCCAUAGCUGGUCUGAGAGGAUGAGCAGCCACACUUGGACGGAGAAGCGGCCCGGACUCCUACGGGAGGCAGCAGUGGGGAAUAUUGGACUAUGGGCGAAAGCCUGAUCGAGCAAUGCCGCGUGAGUGAUGAAGGCCUGAGGGUAGUAAAGCUCUUUUACCCGGGAUGGUAAUGACAGUACCGGGAGAAUAAGCACCGGCUAACUCCGUG